UACGUAGGGUGCGAGCGUUAAUCGGAAUUACUGGGCGUAAAGCGUGCGCAGGCGGUUUUGUAAGUCUGUCGUGAAAUCCCCGGGCUCAACCUGGGAAUUGCGAUGGAGACUGCAAGGCUAGAAUCUGGCAGAGGGGGGGGUAGAAUUCCACGUGUAGCAGUGAAAUGCGUAGAGAUGUGGAGGAACACCGAUGGCGAAGGCAGCCCCCUGGGUCAAGAUUGACGCUCAUGCCACGAAAGCGUGGGGAGCAAACAGG
rnacentral:rRNA from 1 species